UGGGGCGUAGCCAAGCGGUAAGGCAGUGGACUUUGACUCUACGAUGCGCAGGUUCGAAUCCUGCCGCCCCAG
rnacentral:tRNA from 1 species